rnacentral:rRNA from 1 species
UACGAAGGGGGCUAGCGUUGCUCGGAAUUACUGGGCGUAAAGCGCACGUAGGCGGUCUUUUAAGUCGGGGGUGAAAUCCUGGAGCUCAACUCCAGAACUGCCUUCGAUACUGGAAGACUUGAGUCCGGGAGAGGUGAGUGGAACUGCGAGUGUAGAGGUGAAAUUCGUAGAUAUUCGCAAGAACACCAGUGGCGAAGGCGGACUCACUGGCC